CUUUGGGGUGGAAGGGGAGCAUAGAGCUCAUAAAAUUCUCAUCUUUGUUAGGAAAAACAGGUGACGGAGUCCUUUCUUCCUUUCCCUGGCCACAUUCCACAGUUGCCUCAAAGUACAACUGUGUCAAGAAUGUACCAGACGACUGAAUGAAUGGCCAGGCUUUUCCUUUCUAAGUUGAUGAAACUGAAUUUACCAGCGAACCUCCAGGUACCGAGGACACAGAUGCAAACAUCACUGCAGAUGUGCAAUUCACAUGAUCUUUGUUGUCACCGUGUUACAGAAGGUUGUGCACUUGCAGAUCUGAAGACCUCCCGGCCCCAUCACACUCCAUUCUGGCCUCCUCCUUUUCUAUCACAAUGCACUGAAAAGACUUACGAAGUUGUGAAUGAUACACGGACAAAGAGCACUAUGAGAAUUACCUUCUUUUAUGUCGGAUUCUGUAAAAGGCACCUUCAAGGUCCAAAGAGGAAAGGUGCUAUACAUAAUACAAGUAAUCUCAUAACGAUGCAUCAUAGGAAUAUUGCAAGGAAGAACUGAACAUUAUCUGUAAAAUAUGAAACCGGAAUUCCAAGGCUUGACAUCAGAGACAGCGCUUAUCUGUUCAAAAGACAACGGAGAAGUUGAUAUCAUUAAGAGAUUCUCUUGGGAAAGCAAUAAAAACUGUCAGACUAUGUCAUAUGGACCAGCUCUGAACAGAUGCUGUGCUGAGGGAUCUGGAAAGAGCCCCACGAAUUACAUUCUAAAAUUAACUGUGUGGAAUCAUAUGUAUUUCUGGCUGUCAAA